GAGGUGACCUUAUCCAUAUUUGUCGCAUCAUGAGGGGUAUAGAUACGGUGAAUGGCUGGUGCCUUUUCCUGAGGGUGGAGGACUUCAAGACUGGGGGCAUUUUUUAAGGAGUAUCCCAGGCUGAGUUCUGAAAAUUGAGAGAGAAGACAAAGCAUCUUCACACCAACUGGAGUUGAAGAAAUAUCUCUUGGUUCACAGGGAGACCUGGUAGGACCAUGAUUCUUGGUAUCAGAGACAAGAUGAAACAAAGAUUCAACAAUGUUUCAAGAGGUCUGUUAAGAGUGUUAUCAUCCAGAUUUUGCCACAGUGAGAAUCAAACAGCCAGUCGAUGUUGAUCAACAUCUACAAUAAGGUACAUGACAACAAACUGAACGAAUUUCCCACCUCGUCAAUUCUCUUAGAAGAUUUCUGGGACUGUGGAAGACACAACAGACAGGCAACAAAGAGGGAGGACUCAGGGAGUCGUCAAUCAGUCGCCAUGUUGUCUCUAACUGUUGCUGCUCCAAAGCUGAUGGAGAGAAGGAUAUAAUGGCAGCUCUGCAGCAAUGAAAUAUUGAUCAGUAGGAAGAUCCAAAUUGUUAGACGCACAGUGACAUUUGAUCCCACAGGAAG